GUGCCAGCCGCCGCGGUAAUACCGGCAGCUCGAGUGUUGGCCGAUCUUAUUGGGCCUAAAGCGUCCGUAGCUGGCCUCGCAAGUCCGUCGGGAAAUCCAGUAGCCCAACUACUGGGCGUCCGGCGGAAACUACAAGGCUUGGGACCGGAAGGCUCGAGGGGUACGUCCGGGGUAGGAGUGAAAUCCCAUAAUCCCGAACGGACCACCGAUGGCGAAAGCACCUCGAGAAGACGGCUCCGGCAGUGAGGGACGAAAGCCAGGGUCUCGAACCGGAUUAGAAACCCUUGUAGUCC
rnacentral:rRNA from 1 species